rnacentral:rRNA from 1 species
GACUAACGCUGGCGGCGUGCCUAACACAUGCAAGUCGAACGGGAGUAGCAAUACUCUAGUGGCAGACGGGUGAGUAACACGUAGUCAACCUUCCCGAUAGUGGGGGAUAACUAGCCGAAAGGUUAGCUAAUACCGCAUACGAUCUAUGAGCGGCAUCGCUUAUAGAUGAAAGGAGCAAUCCGCUUUCGGACGGGACUGCGUCCCAUUAGCUAGAUGGUGGGGUAAUGGCCUACCAUGGCGACGAUGGGUAGCUGGUUUGAGAGAGCGACCAGCCACA